AGCAGCCGCGGUAAUUCCAGCUCCAAUAGCGUAUAUUAAAGUUGUUGCAGUUAAAAAGCUCGUAGUUGAAUUUCGGGGUCAGCAGGUUGGUCGUGCCAAUGGUAUGCACUGGCCUUGCUGAUUCCUCCUUCUUGAUGAGCCGUAAUGUCAUUAAUUUGGUGUUGCGGGGAAUCAGGACUGUUACUUUGAAAAAAUUAGAGUGUUUAAAGCAGGCAAGCGCUUGAAUACAUUAGCAUGGAAUAAUGAAAUAGGACGUUUGAUCCUAUUUUGUUGGUUUCUAGGAUUGACGUAAUGAUUAAUAGGGAUAGUUGGGGGCAUUAGUAUUCAAUUGUCAGAGGUGAAAUUCUUGGAUUUAUUGAAGACUAACUACUGCGAAAGCAUUUGCCAAGGAUGUUUUCAUUAAUCAAGAACGAAAGUUAGGGGAUCGAAGACGAUCAGAUACCGUCGUAGUCUUAACCAUAAACUAUGCCGACUAGGGAUCGGACGAUGUUAAUUUUUUAAUGACUCG
rnacentral:rRNA from 1 species